rnacentral:rRNA from 1 species
CUGGAGUUCGAGAAGGACACCAUUGGUAGACACUUUUCAUAUGCUUUUUACUCCAGGAAGUUAAGUAAUGGUGAGUUUGUUGACAGAAAGUGGUUGGUUUACCACAAAGGUGCAAACAAAGUAUAUUGUUUUUGUUGCAGGUUGUUCAAAUCAAAACUGAGCAAGUCUAUGCUAGCAUCUGAUGGAUUGAAUAACUGGAAGCGUUUGAGUGCACGUCUCAAAGAUCAUGAGAACAGUGUUGAGCAUUUAACAAACAUGAAUACAUGGAAUGAAGUUAGGUUGAGACUAAGCAAAAAUCAAACAAUUGAUGAUGAUAUGCAAAGGGGGAUUGCAAAGGAGAAGGAGCGUUGGAGACAAGUUGUGGUAAGAAUAGUUUCUUGCAGAACAUACUUUGGCUUUUCGUGGAUCAAAUGA